UUUCCGUAGGUCGCUAGAGUUCAGCCUACCAAAGCAAACCUUUCAAAACUGCUAGUCUCUCCCCGAGGCGACACGCUCAAUGUUGCGGAGAGGCCCUCUUUUCAGAGGGUAAUCCGCAGCCGGCCCCCUAAAGGCUGGUUCAGAGACUCAAUAAGUGUGGGUUUGGCCUUUUGGCCAGGCUUAAGAUAGAGCCCGUCCCUGUAGGCAACUGCGGGGGAUGAACGGAACCUGCGGAAGGAUCAUUAAAGAAUCGGUGACCCUCGCGGUCCCAUUCUCACCCUUUGUAUACCAAACUUCAGUUGCUUUGGCUGGCCUUCGCGGGCCGGCCAGAGGACUCAAACCCUUGAAUCUUUGCUGUCUGAGUACUAUAUAAUAGUUAAAACUUUCAACAACGGAUCUCUUGGUUCUG
rnacentral:misc_RNA from 1 species